rnacentral:rRNA from 1 species
CAGUCGCCGCGGUAAUACGAAGGGGGCUAGCGUUGUUCGGAAUUACUGGGCGUAAAGCGCAUGUAGGCGGAUAUUUAAGUCAGGGGUGAAAUCCCGCAGCUCAACUGCGGAACUGCCUUUGAUACUGGGUAUCUUGAGUAUGGAAGAGGUUAGUGGAAUUGCGAGUGUAGAGGUGAAAUUCGUAGAUAUUCGCAGGAACACCAGUGGCGAAGGCGGCUAACUGGUCCAUAACUGACGCUGAGGUGCGAAAGCGUGGGGAGCAAACAGGAUUAGAGACCCCCGUAGUCCCUGUCUCUUAUAC